AUUGAACGCUAGCGGGAUGCCUUACACAUGCAAGUCGAACGGAGUGGCGAACGGGUGAGUAAUGUAUCGGAACGUGCCCAGUAGCGGGGGAUAACUACGCGAAAGCGUAGCUAAUACCGCAUACUCUUUGAACGGCCGCUAUCGGAUUAGCUAGUUGGUUGGUUAACGGCUCACCAAGGCGACGAUCCGUAUCGGGUUGGAGAGGACGACCAGCCAAACUGGGACUGAGACACGGCCCAGACUCCUACGGUAGGGAGCAGUGGGGAAUUUUGGACAAUGGGGGAAACCCUGAUCCAGCCAUCCCGCGUGUUAGAUGAAGGCCUGCGGGUUGUAAAGCACUUUUGGCAGGAAAGCGGUACCUGCAGAAUAAGCACCGGCUAACUACGUGCCAGCAGCCGCGGUAAUAC
rnacentral:rRNA from 1 species